rnacentral:rRNA from 1 species
UACGUAGGGGGCAAGCGUUGUCCGGAUUAUUGGGCGUAAAGAGCGUGUAGGCGGCCAUACAGGUCAGCUGUGAAACUCGAGGCUCAACCUCGAGACGUCGGUUGAAACCGUAUGGCUAGAGUCCGGAAGAGGAGAGUGGAAUUCCCGGUGUAGCGGUGAAAUGCGCAGAUAUCGGGAAGAACACCCGUGGCGAAGGCGGCUCUCUGGGACGGUACUGACGCUGAGACGCGGAAAGCGUGGGAGCGAACGAGG